CAGCGUUUGACAUGGAUACUAUGAUCGUCAGAGAUGACUUUCUUCACUUCGGGUGGGUAUCACACAGGUGCUGCAUGGCUGUCGUCAGCUCGUGUCGUGAGAUGUUGGGUUAAGUCCCGCAACGAGCGCAACCCUCACCUUCAGUUGCCAUCAUUUAGUUGGGCACUCUGAAGGAACUGCCGGUGACAAGCCGGAGGAAGGUGGGGAUGACGUCAAGUCCUCAUGGCCCUUACGCGCUGGGCUACACACGUGCUACAAUGGUGGUGACAAUGGGUCGCAAGCGUGCGAACGCAAGCUAAUCUCCAAAAGCCAUCUCAGUUCGGAUUGCACUCUGCAACUCGAGUGCAUGAAGUCGGAAUCGCUAGUAAUCGUGGAUCAGCAUGCCACGGUGAAUACGUUCCC
rnacentral:rRNA from 1 species